GACGAACGCUGGCGGCGUGCUUAACACAUGCAAGUCGAACGGAAAGGCCCUGCUUGCAGGGUGCUCGAGUGGCGAACGGGUGAGUAACACGUGGGUGAUCUGCCCCUUAUUUUGGGAUAAGCCUGGGAAACUGGGUCUAAUACUGGAUAGGACCAUGCUGUAGGUGGUGUGGUGGAAAGAUUAGUUUCGGUAAGGGAUGAGCUCGCGGCCUAUCAGCUUGUUGGUGGGGUAAUGGCCUACCAAGGCGUCGACGGGUAGCCGGCCUGAGAGGGUGGACGGCCACAUUGGGACUGAGAUACGGACCAGACUCCUACGGGAGGCAGCAGUGGGGAAUAUUGCACAAUGGGCGCAAGCCUGAUGCAGCGACGCCGCGUGGGGGAUGAAGGCCUUCGGGUUGUAAACUCCUUUCAGCCAUGACGAAGCCCUUGUGGUGACGGUAGUGGUAGAAGAAGCACCGGCUAACUACGUG
rnacentral:rRNA from 1 species